rnacentral:rRNA from 1 species
GAGUCUAGCAUGUGCGCGAGUCAUUGGGAUUCGCUAAACCUACAGGCGCAAUGAAAGUGAAGGUCGGCCUCGCGCCGACCGAGGGAGGAUGAGCUGCCGUUCUCGGACGGCGCUCCGCACUCCCGGGGCGUCUCGUACUCAUCGCGAGUUGAGGCGCACCCAGAGCGUACACGCUGGGACCCGAAAGAUGGUGAACUAUGCCUGGUCAGGACGAAGUCAGGGGAAACCCUGAUGGAGGUCCGUAGCGAUUCUGACGUGCAAAUCGAUCGUCGGAACUGGGUAUAGGGGCGAAAGACUAAUCGAACCAUCUAGUAGCUGGUUCCCUCCGAAGUUUCCCUCAGGAUAGCUGGCGCUCGUAUUUUACGAGUCUCAUCCGGUAAAGCGAAUGAUUAGAGGCAUUGGGGUCGAAACGGCCUCAACCUAUUCUCAAACUUUAAAUGGGUGAGAUCUCCGGCUUGCUCGAUUGAAGCCGCGAGAUUUCGGAUCAGAGUGCCAAGUGGGCCAUUUUUGGUAAGCAGAACUGGCGCUGUGGGAUGAACCAAACGUGGAGUUAAAGCGCCUAAAUCGACGCUUAUGGGAUACCAUGAAAGGCGUUGGUAACUUAAGACAGCAGGACGGUGGCCAUGGAAGUCGGA